CCUACGGGAGGCAGCAGUGAGGAAUAUUGGUCAAUGGGCGCUAGCCUGAACCAGCCAAGCCGCGUGAGGGAUGAAGGUCCUGCGUAUCGUAAACCUCUUUUGUCAGGGAACAAAGACAGGGACGCGUCCCCGGAUGAGUGUACCUGAAGAAAAAGCAUCGGCUAACUCCGUGCCAGCAGCCGCGGUAAUACGGAGGAUGCGAGCGUUAUCCGGAUUUAUUGGGUUUAAAGGGUGCGCAGGCGGUUCGUUAAGUCAGGCGUGAAAGGCUGGGGCUCAACCCCCGGACCGCAGUUGAAACUGGCAGUCUUGAGUUGGAGAGAAGUAGGCGGAAUGCGCGGUGUAGCGGUGAAAUGCAUAGAUAUCGCGCAGAACUCCGAUUGCGAAGGCAGCAUGCUGGCUCCACACUGACGCUGAGGCACGAAAGCGUGGGUAUCGAACAGGAUUAGAUACCCUAGUAGUC
rnacentral:rRNA from 1 species